CCAGGUUUCAUUUUCUAUUGAAAACACUUGUCUCUUUUUUGGUCUAGGUUAUUAGUUAGGUUAGGUUAUUCUGAUACCAAAUAUUCAAAACAUCUGCCAAAAGGAAUGUAGUAAUUAUGCGGCAAGAUAAAUAAAUAUUUAAUGGAUAAUAGAAAAUCGAUUUGAGUGGUUGUACUCCUCCUGGAUUUAGAGCAUAGGCUAAAAACGAGGAAUUAAUGCCAAAAAGAUCAAAGGCAUUUAAAGAGAUGAUGCAAUGGAAAAAUAUAUUGAAUAGGUCAGAAGAAUCGUUGUAUUGUAUUAUAUGAGAAUGUGUUUAAAAAAUCGAUGAAAUAAACUAGAAAACAUAACAUUCCAAUGGUAUGGUAACGACUAAAGAAUGCUACUGGGGGUCAAAACUCAUACCAUAAUGGGAGCCUUUUAGAAGAAGACGUAGAGGACCAUUAACUCUGGGAUGAGAAACAUUUAUUGGAAAUGAGAUAAUAGAUGAAGAUCCGAUACAAAGAAAUUGUAGAGAAAUGGACUAGUGAACUUGCAAGGGAUAAUGCCGGGGAAGAAUACAAUUUGGUUAUUAACUUUUCAUAGUAUCAAUAAAAUGCUACAAAAUCUUUUAUUCAAAUACGAGGGUUGGUACUGAAGUUUCAAGAUAAACAAAUAUAUUUAAUUCGAUAUGGCUUUAUUGUAUUUCAACAACUCUCACAUGCGUUUGAACUAAUUA